AUUGAACGCUGGCGGCAUGCCUUACACAUGCAAGUCGAACGGUAACAGGUCUUCGGAUGCUGACGAGUGGCGAACGGGUGAGUAAUACAUCGGAACGUGCCUAGUAGUGGGGGAUUACUACUCGAAAGAGUGGCUAAUACCGCAUGAGAUCUACGGAUGAAAGCAGGGGAUCGCAAGACCUUGCGCUACUAGAGCGGCCGAUGGCAGAUUAGGUAGUUGGUGGGAUAAAAGCUUACCAAGCCGACGAUCUGUAGCUGGUCUGAGAGGACGAUCAGCCACACUGGGACUGAGAAACGGCCCAGACUCCUACGGGAGGCAGCAGUGGGGAAUUUUGGACAAUGGGCGCAAGCCUGAUCCAGCAAUGCCGCGUGCAGGAUGAAGGCCUUCGGGUUGUAAACUGCUUUUGUACGGAACGAAAAGCCCCGGGUUAAUACCCUGGGGUCAUGACGGUACCGUAAGAAUAAGCACCGGCUAACUACGUGCCAGCAGCCGCCGUAA
rnacentral:rRNA from 1 species